rnacentral:rRNA from 1 species
UACGAAGGGGGCUAGCGUUGCUCGGAAUCACUGGGCGUAAAGGGUGCGUAGGCGGGUCUUUAAGUCAGGGGUGAAAUCCUGGAGCUCAACUCCAGAACUGCCUUUGAUACUGAGGAUCUUGAGUCCGGGAGAGGUGAGUGGAACUGCGAGUGUAGAGGUGAAAUUCGUAGAUAUUCGCAAGAACACCAGUGGCGAAGGCGGCAUCCUGGACCGACACUGACGCUGAGGCGCGAAAGCCAGGGGAGCAAACGGG